rnacentral:rRNA from 1 species
UACGAAGGGGGCUAGCGUUGCUCGGAAUCACUGGGCGUAAAGGGUGCGUAGGCGGGUCUUUAAGUCAGGGGUGAAAUCCUGGAGCUCAACUCCAGAACUGCCUUUGAUACUGAGGAUCUUGAGUACGGGAGAGGUGAGUGGAACUGCGAGUGUAGAGGUGAAAUUCGUAGAUAUUCGGAGGAACACCAGUGGCGAAGGCGGCUCACUGGUCCAUUACUGACGCUGAGGUGCGAAAGCGUGGGGAGCAAACAGG